CUUCAGUAGAACAUCUGUAUAUACGCCUAUGAUGUAACUCUUUUACAUCGUCACAUGCUCAAGCUUUAGCAUAACUUACUGUAUGGUGUAUGGAAACUAUAACUUGGCAUGCGGCCCCCCUAGUUCCGAAUCGGAAACAAUCAGCAGCAGUCAGGAGAUUUCGUGGCGUGGGAAUUUGUACAUGUUGCCGACUGCAUUUGUCAUCUACUUUGUUGCCUGCUACGUUGGUCACUAAGGAUACACGUGACUUGACAGAUGUGGAGAGAUCUUCUGCUGUAGUAUUGCCAAAGAGACGUAUGACAAACAAGUUUGCAGCCAUGUUGACAGCCAGACUACACAAGAUGAUUUCUUCAACCCAGUCAGGAUUCCGUUGAAAAUCAUUAUUGUCACAAGAAAAAUGAAGAAUAUGUUAUAAAGCUCUGCAUCAGUUCUGAAUUAGCCAUGGUUGCUUAUGCAUGUACACUGCUUUGUUGAAAAUGUAUGUUGUGUUAUACCAUAAAAAUGUUUGAAAUAUUGAAGAAAAUAUAAA